rnacentral:tmRNA from 1 species
GGGGGCGACCUGGUCUCGACGCGGGUUACGAAACCCAAGGUGCAUGCCGAGGAUGCAGCUCACCUCGCAAAACACGCUGCAAGCCAAUAGCUGCCAACGACGAGCAGUUCGCACUAGCGGCUUAAUAUAGCCCGCUAGCCGUCGUUUGAUCCGUGCCUGUGCGGGUCACUCGGUGGUCAUAGCCACGCAGGCUCGCGGCGGGUCUGGUCCGGGGACCCGCUGUCAGAACCCAAGCCGGGCUCGCCGCCCGAUGCCCUGCCCGUCGGGCCCCGGGCGGCUAAAACCAAAGACGCGGCUAAGCAUGUAGGACCGAGGGCGGAGGACUUGCGGACGCGGGUUCGAUUCCCGCCGCCUCCACCA